rnacentral:rRNA from 1 species
CCUACGGGUGGCAGCAGUGAGGAAUAUUGGUCAAUGGGCGCAAGACUGAACCAGCCAAGUAGCGUGAAGGAUGACGGCCCUAUGGGUUGUAAACUGCUUUUAUACGGGGAUAAAGUGAGUCACGUGUGCUGUUUUGUAGGUACCGUAUGAAUAAGGAUCGGCUAAAUCCGUGCCAGCAGCCGCGGUAAUACGGAAGAUCCGGGCGUUAUCCGGAUUUAUUGGGUUUAAAGGGUGCGUAGAUGGGUUGUUAAGUCAGUUGGGCAAUUGUGCGGCUCAACCGUUUACUCGCCAUUGAUACUGGCAGUCUUGAGUAGAGGUGAGGUAGGCGGAAUGCGUGGUGUAGCGGUGAAAUGCUUAGAUAUCACGCAGAACCCCGAUUGCGAAGGCAGCAUGC